UACUGGUUUGUGUAAUUCUAGAUUUGUGAUCAUAAAUGUCGCAUACGAUCUAUCAAUGCCAAAUUUCCAGAAAGCUAUCACGAUGCUUUUGUAUGGGGAGUGAGUGCUGCUCGAACACAUUUCGAAGAACUAAACAGAACCGGAAGAAUUGAUAAAUUACUUGGUAAUAUAAAUCAGUACACCUAUACAGACUUGCGUAAUUAUAGUACUACUGUUUUAACACAGGUGACGCCGGAUACCCAGGAGAACCUUGGCUUGUUAGACCACAUAGAGAUCCUGAUCCUGGUUCUGAAGAAGCAUUAUUCAACUCAUCUCAUUCCUCUGGCCGGAUACUCGUAGAGAUGACUAUAGGAAUAUUAAAAUCGUGAUUUAGAUGUCUUAAUGGUAUAGACGGUUGCCUUAAUUAUGCACCAGAAAAAUGUGGCAAAAUCAUAAAUGUUUGCAGUGCAUUGCACAACAUAUGUGUUGAGCAUAAUUUGGAGUGGAAUCAGCUGUUCAAUGACAUUAUGCUCAGUGUGCAUUAGAUAGCAUCAGAUUAAUUUGCUGCUUUGUUCUACAAUCAACCUCAACUAUAUUGAUACUGAGGCUUUUUAUACUUCUUAGAUGGGACGGACAGAGGAGAGUGUUUGUUAUCCUACUGGAAGAUUCGGAACCAUUCCCGUAUCAGCUAUGUUUUUCUACAUCCAUACCAGCAGAAUCAACCUACGAGCAGAAUCAUACCGGCGGUGACUGUAUCGUUACUUUUAAACACUUUUGCGCAUACCUUUGAGGCCACUCCGAAAUUUAGCACUUUGAACCGCGUCAAACGACGAUGGUGGACCCGGUAUAAGCUAUACUAGGUAUAAAGCUAUAUGACGUGUAUGUCAACAUAUCUCCCCGUCAUGAAAUGAAUCAAACUCACUAGGCCACGAUGAACUGUGAAUGUUAUGUGCAUGACACUCGAUGACCAAGCUCAAAGAUUGCAUCGUAGCCUGGCGAAACUGUAGGAGCGUCUGAUUAAUAUGUAAAUGAGCUGCUUUUUAUGCCUGGAUAUCUUCUCGACGUUAGAAGUGUGAGCAUUGUAGAGACUAAACAAGUUAUUACAAAUUGGGUUAGGAAUUGUAUUUAUUGGUUACAUUAAAGUUCGCAUUUAUUCUUUACUAAUUUGUUUAUACUCUAGCUCUAGCUCCAUUUUGGCUAUGGUUAAUUUUAACUCGCGGUCUUUCUCCGCUAACUUCCUUGUGAGAUUCAAUUCUUCUCUUUUUAGAUCAAGCUUUGCUUGUUUUAAUUCCAUAUUUUUUAAUUCUAUUUCUUUUUCGAAUGCAAAUUUUUGUUUUUCUAAAUCUAGUCUUUCCUUGUCCAAAUCUAGCUGUUGUUGGCGAAUAAUAUUUUGCUGCUGUUUAAUUCGACCAUAAUGCUUAUGUUCCAGCAAUUGCAAUUCAGCUAUUGUUCUUUUGCGUCGUGUUGUACGUUGAUUUGUGUUAUUUUGCCCUGACUGAGAUGAUCUCUGUGGUGUUCUUUCACUGUCAUUCGUUUCAUUUAGAUGCUGUAGAGAUGGUGAUGAUGGUAACUCCAUAAACUGUGGAGUUGGUGCUGCAGGAGAUGGUGACGCAGGCAAUGGUGAUGAGAGUGAAAUUGGUUGGAUUGCUGAUUGUGAUGGCCUUUCUGCCAACGGUGUUUCCCGAACAGAGAUAGGUGCUGAACCUGAUGAAUAAGAUGGUGCCCCUAACUCUUUAGUGUUUAGCCCAACAACGCUAUCUUUUAACUGCAAGAUGUCAAUAACGUGACUUUCAAGUGCAGAAAAACUAUACAUCGUGCAUGGUCCUCCUCCAGUUGCUCUAUACUCACGGUUAUUGUGCGAUAAUUUUUUCUUCAUCCCCGAUCUAAAAUCUGCCCAUACCUGUAUCGUGAACGAUUAAAAUGCAUAUAAAUACAUAAUUCACAUGCACAAUAGUUCCAAAAUGUUGAAGACUUGUUGACUACUUUCCUUUUUCCACCCAGAACCGUCUUUAGUCGGGGGUCCUAAGAGAUUCAGAUCUUUAGCAAUAUCAUUCCAAAAAGUUGAGGUUCCUUUUUGCUUAUCAUGUAUGAUAGCUUCGUUCCUUUCUAUCAGCUCCACCAUUUUUUCAAACUGUGCCUUUGUUGUAGUUUUUCGUUUUUCCUAAAAUUAAAAUGUAUGUCAUCAUUAAAUAGGUCAUGGUUAUCUUAUUUUUAAUAAAUAAAACGUAAUAAAUGUUGGUAUAAUUUAUUUGAAUAUAGUUUUACACAAAUUAGGUUUUGUUUUUGAUAUGAUUCAUUCCUUGAUUUAAUGACAAAUCCGAUUAAUACAAAUACCUGUUCCGUUAACACGUUGAGUGCGAUAAUAUGCGCGGUGGCACUUAUUCGUUCACUGGUUGGCCCUGCAUUAAACUUAUGUUAAGAAAGAUCCAUCUAGGCCACAUACUCGCUCCCCCUCCCCCUCUCACUUAUCACCCAAGAAUAACUUGAAAUCUCCUGCCCUUGUACAUUGAAACCGACAGGACAUUAGAUGAUUAAAAAAAUACUUUAUGGAUUCAUUGCCCACAAUUAUUGAUAACAAAUCUGGAUGUAAACCAUGUCGGCAGCAUUUGCAUUUGCCGUGACAUGAUUGAACUUGCAAGGAAAGCUAGUUUUCUGUUGUUGUUUCCGGCGAAUGAAUGACUAAUGGAACAGAACUGUUAGCACAGUGUAGGGCUCAACGUUUUGAUUUUGACUGGUUUUGAAGAGUAUUGCCAUAAAAUUACUGUAAAACUUAUAUACGAAAACUUACAGCCAUUUUUCCAUAAGAUACACCCUCCAAUGCACUCGAUGCUUCCUUCACUUUUGACGCCUGAACUUCAAGUAAGACCGCAGUCAAACGCACGAACACAUACCCACACACACACAUACUCACCUUUAAUUUGUUUACAUUGAUGAAAUGUCACCGGAUUUUGGCGCGCAGAUAAUCGGGUUAGUUUAUUUAAGCAAAUUCACAAUUUUUACAUUUUCCAUAACCCUUUUCCUGCCCCUUCCCCUGUGUCCCGCGAUGGGUCUAGAGGGAGGGAAUGUUCUAGCUCUUAGGAGCGCAUCCUUUCGGAUGCGUAGUCUUACUGAUAAACGUGCACUCUCUCCGCCCUUGUGUGGGGCAAUUUCGCACCAAUUGCUACGAGUUGGCCUUCCUCCGCGGAAGCACGCGUAUAUAAUUACUUGGCUAGCGGGAGGCUACGUCUGCCUUUACCGUCGCGCCUCCUCUGCCGCGGUCAAACCGCAUUGCCGGUUGUACGAAAAGGCCAGCUCAGGAUGAAAAGACUCCCCAUUGUCUACAUCUCCUCCUUGAACCCAUCGUCUCUCUUCCUGUUGAUGCUGGCGGUGUCGCUGCCGCAGUAUCGCCAUCCGUGCGCGGAUACUCGCCCGUCUCUCCGACGUUCGUAGUGAUGAUGAAGGCGUAGAUGGCCGUUCGCCUCGCUGCUCCACCCUUUGGCGCACCGUCUGAGUCCUUCUCGCAACAUUCCGAAGAUCAUUUCGGGCCCGUCAGACUACGUCGGAGUCUAGCCGGUUGUCUAUUCCAACAUGACCUGUGCUUACUACUGCAUUUUGGUGCUGGUUAUUUUAAACUGACAUUCUUACUUUAGUUUGAUGUUUGUUCGCAACGAUCGUACCAAAAACAACCUUAUUUUUGUUUUUGGCAUAACAGCCGUUGUCGGUGCAGGCCUGUCUGUACCACUAGUGGGCUUUGCUUACAGUUACUUAUUGAUUACCAUAGCAGGAUAUGUCAGUCCUACGGUUGGAAUCACGAUCCAUUUAGGAUCGUUAAUAGUCACACAAAUAAAUGAGGCCUCGGGUGAUCUUAUGUAAGACUCACUGGCUCUGUUACCGAGAGUUAAAACGUAGUUCAAUUCUUAUCCGGACCACCCCCUCUUGCAAGUACGGACGACGCAGUUACGUGGUACAAAAUAGUCUCGUCAGCCUGUUAAAGCCAGCUGGACUGAAAAACCUUUUAUGCCAGUUAUGCCAGCGUUAUGCCAGGAAAAAGAAGAACAAAAAUAAAUUAAACAGAAGAAGAAAAACUUAAAUUUUUUUGAUUAAAUUUUUUUAUAUUUAAUUUAGACUAUUAUUUUUACAAUUUAAAAACUAAUAAAAUUUCUGAAAUACCCCAACAGUGAUUUUAAAGCGCUAUUUCCGUGAUAAAACCAUUCAAAUUCAAUCAAAAGAAAAAAUCCGUGACAAAUCCGCUGCUCAAAAGGUCGCGCAUUUCUAUCCAUAUAAACGGGAACGAACGACACCGUGUAUAACAGUGGUUUUACUCUCAUUUCAUGUUGCAACCGCUCUUUUAAAUUUGAGUGACUCGUGAGAUACAAUGAGAGCAAAAUGAGCGCCCCGCGGCGUUCUUUCAGGGGCGUUCGUUCCGCCCGAUACGGCCGAUAGUAAUUAUACAAAACACAAUACCAGGAAACAAACUGCAAACCACGUUUAAUCCAAAGGAGAUUCUCGUAAAUGAAAAGGAAGGGCCGAGGGUGACUAUUAUGGAUACAGAGACGGGUAAAAAGUUCAAAAGAAACUCGGCACACUUAAAGAAAAUUACCAACACCGACAUCAGAGAAUCAGAACUCAGAGAACCUCAAGAAGAAACUAGGAAUAAUUUAGAGGAAACAACGAGUCGUGGGCAACGGCAAAGGAAAGCUCCAGCCAAAUUAGCGGAUUACGAAAUAGAUUAGUGAUAUAACAUUAGGUUGUGAAUUGUAUUAGAGAAAGGCAGGUAAACAGAAAUAAUGCAGAAACAAGAGAUAUGAAUUCAUAACAAACAGUGAAAAAGAAAAAAAAGAAGGAAGUGAUGUGGUACGGCAACUGUAGCUACCCAUCACCACAACAUGAUGACAAAGAUUAGCGGUGCAAAGAAGAUCGGAUUAGAUCAAUCCGGAUGGGAUUACAACAUGGAACAGGGAACUGGAUGAAGGACCAUCACUAUAAAGGGACGAGAUGAUAAAGCAAGUUUAAUGCAGGACGCGGACCGAGACAGACGAACAUUGAGGGUACCACAGCAGGUAUCCGUCCAACAGCAGGUUUCAGUGGUAAAUGUGCAGAAAUCUGUGUGGUGGAAUGCGUAAAACAGCACUUUUGAAAAGUUAACUGUCAAGUGAUGUUGUCGGGCUAUGGUGAUGCACGCACGCACCACAAUGUGCAGGGACAUUCACCGACAGAAAGAUUUUGUUCCGUAAGUAUUAUAAACAGAUGUGGAUGUUCAUUUAUAGUGCAUCAAACACAAUUAUCAUAUGCAUGCAAUUUUGUUACAUUAUAUUUCAGCGACAUGCAGUUACACACAGAGCGGGAGUCAACAAAGGUAGAUGUACGAAAAGCCGCUACUAGUUGAUCGUGACGGACGAUAAAAUGAGGUCCCUUCGAACUAUUUGAGAGGAAUCGUCCUAAAUUUGUUGACGACACGGUAGCAUUUGCUGGAACCAAAUACCUUUCCUUACAACAGGAUGUGUCGUAAACGGGAUGGUGCAAUUGCAGAUACGGUCUGUCGUACUGCAAAGGAUACAUAGUGUCAUAUGACCCCACCACACCCAGCGAUUGUCGUCCUAUUAUUGUGUAGAUAUGUUUUUGUAGGGCAUUUGCAUGAACAGUGCGGAUUGAACGUUUUACGUGUAGUAUAGUUGCGUAAUUUGUAAUGCAUUCGUGAACGGAAUUCUGUUUGCAUUCGUUGAAUGUACGUAACCAGGUAGCGUAGGGACACUGUAUGUGAUAGACUGAUAAUGAUAGGAAAAAAAUAACGUAAGGAAAGGUAAAAGAUGUGAUAACUCAAUGUUAUGUUAGAAUGAUAAAGAAUUUUUUUUUAAAUAAUCACGAUCCAGCUAGCUAGAUUAACUAGUCAUGCACAAAAAUGAUCCCCAUGUGCUGUACAAAAAACGAAUUCAAUAUAUUUAUAUAUAAUUAGA